rnacentral:rRNA from 1 species
CAGCUCUCCGAGUAGUGUGGACGUUUAUUGGGCCUAAAGCAUCCGUAGCUUGCUAGAUAAGUCCUCUGUUAAAUCCACCGAUUCAAUCGUUGGAUUGCGGGGGAUACUGUUUGGCUAGGGGACGGGAGAGGUCGACGGUAUUUCCGGGGUAGGGGUGAAAUCCUAUAAUCCCGGGAGGACCACCAGUGGCGAAGGCUGUCGACUAGAACGCGCCCGACGGUGAGGGAUGAAAGCUGGGGGCACACACCGGAUUAGAGACCCGAGUAGUCC